rnacentral:rRNA from 1 species
UGCAGUCGACGGCAGCACGGGGGCAACCCUGGUGGCGAGUGGCGAACGGGUGAGUAAUGCAUCGGAACGUGUCUUCGAGUGGGGGAUAACGCACCGAAAGGUGUGCUAAUACCGCAUAAUCUCUACGGAGAAAAGCAGGGGAUCGCAAGACCUUGCGCUCUUGGAGCGGCCGAUGUCUGAUUAGCUAGUUGGUGAGGUAAAGGCUUACCAAGGCGACGAUCAGUAGCUGGUCUGAGAGGACGACCAGCCACACUGGGACUGAGACACGGCCCAGACUCCUACGGGAGGCAGCAGUGGGGAAUCUUGGACAAUGGGGGAAACCCUGAUCCAGCCAUGCCGCGUGAGUGAAGAAGGCCUUCGGGUUGUAAAGCUCUUUCAGCCGGAACGAAACGGUCACGGUUAAUACCUGUGACUACUGACGGUACCGGAAGAAGAAGCACCGGCUAACUACGUGCCAGCAGCCGCGGUAAUACGUAGGUGCAAGCGUUAAUCGGAAUUACUGGGCUAAAGCGUGCGCAGGCGGUUUGUAGUCAGAUGUGAA